AAGUGUAUGCGGGAAAAGGAGGAGAAUAAAGCUGGCAAGUGUAAUCCUGAGUCACAGAGAGACUGCCCGCCGCCAUGAUGACAAACUGCAUGUGACGAUGCCGGCAGGAAGUGUAUGCGGGAAAAGGAGGAGAAUAAAGCUGGCAAGUGUAAUCCUGAGUCACAGAGAGACUGCCCGCCGCCAUGAUGACAAACUGCAUGUGACGAUGCCGGCAGGAAGUGUAUGCGGGAAAAGGAGGAGAAUAAAGCUGGCAAGUGUAAGCCUGAGUCACAGAGAGACUGCCCGCCACCAUGAUGACAA